AAGCUGAAAUGAAAAAGUUAGUUGAGCACAUGGGCCAAAUUGACCAGCCUUGGAAGUGUCCACAUGGAAGACCAACAAUGAGACAUUUAAUUAACCUGAAUAUG